UACGAAGGGGGCUAGCGUUGCUCGGAAUCACUGGGCGUAAAGGGUGCGUAGGCGGGUCUUUAAGUCAGGGGUGAAAUCCUGGAGCUCAACUCCAGAACUGCCUUUGAUACUGAAGAUCUUGAGUUCGGGAGAGGUGAGUGGAACUGCGAGUGUAGAGGUGAAAUUCGUAGAUAUUCGCAAGAACACCAGUGGCGAAGGCGGCUCACUGGCCCGUAUACUGACGCUGAGGCACGAAAGCGUGGGGAGCAAAC
rnacentral:rRNA from 1 species